rnacentral:tRNA from 1 species
ACAGUGGUGGUUCAGUGGUAAAAUUCUCGCCUCCCACGCGGGAGACCGAGGUUUGGUUCCUUGGCAAUGCA